GUGCCAGCCGCCGCGGUAAUACGGGGGGAGCAAGCGUUGUUCGGAUUUACUGGGCGUAAAGGGCGCGUAGGCGGUCAGCACAAGUCAGUUGUGAAAUCUCCGGGCUUAACUCGGAAAGGUCAACUGAUACUGUGCGACUAGAGUGCAGAAGGGGCAACUGGAAUUCUCGGUGUAGCGGUGAAAUGCGUAGAUAUCGAGAGGAACACCUGCGGCGAAGGCGGGUUGCUGGGCUGACACUGACGCUGAGGCGCGAAAGCCAGGGGAGCGAACGGGAUUAGAAACCCUCGUAGUCC
rnacentral:rRNA from 1 species